rnacentral:rRNA from 1 species
CCCUUAGAUGUUCUGGGCUGCACGCGCGCUACACUGAUGCGCUCAACGAGUUUUAACCUUGCCUGGAAAGGUUGGGUAAUCUUUUUAAAACGCAUCGUGAUGGGGAUAGAUUAUUGCAAUUAUUAAUCUUCAACGAGGAAUUCCUAGUAAGCGCGAGUCAUCAGCUCGUGCUGAUUACGUCCCUGCCCUUUGUACACACCGCCCGUCGCUCUUACCGAUUGAGUGAUCCGGUGAAUAAUUCGGACUGCGGCAUUGACCGGUUCCCGAUCGUUGCUGCGGAAAGUUUAGUGAACCUUAUCACUUAGAGGAAGGAGAAGUCGUAACA